AGCCCUAUAGUAUAUAAGAUAAUUACAGUAAACUGCAACUUUACCAAAGCUAAUGCUAAGGCUU
rnacentral:tRNA from 1 species